CGAGGCUAGAGGCUCACAGUCCCAACGGCCCAGCGUGAGGCGUGCGGAUUGGUUGAACUCUGGCCUCCGCGCUGAGACUAGCAGUGGUCCAGGUCUCACAAGCAUUAGUCGCCGGGGACUCUGAGGCCUGCUCUGUGACCGUUCUUGCCGCCACUGUAGGGCCCUGGGAAUGUGCACUACCUGCAGGGGGUCCUCAGAAGUAACCGAGAGGAGAGUUUUCAUCUAAAGGAGAACAUAAGAAUGCAAAGUAAAUUGAAGAGAGUGAACUUCAAGGAAAGUAAUCCAUGAAGAACCAUAGUACUUGCGGUUUUUCAAGCAUGACAGCGUAACUCCUACAUGUGUGUCAUGGACACUAUUUAUGCUUCAAAUACCCUUCUUUCCUCUCUGCUGAUUUCCCCAGCUAAUGUUUCUGCUUAAAGACUCAAUUUGGACAUCACCUCCUCUGAGGAUUCAAAACAGAAAUCACCUCCAGUGGGAAGCAUUUUCUGGCCUUCUAAGAUUGGACUAGAUACUGUUUACGUGGCAUCCUGGGGAUAGUAAUAUCUGUUGACUCUUUGCAUGUGAAGGCAGAGAUUGUACAAGUCAGCAAUGUGGCAUUUUGUACAACAGACUGCUAUUUUGCCAUGAGAAAAUCUAGCUGAGAGAGAGAAGAAAAUGCUCAGAUGUGCAUGUCUCUGGCCUCCGUGAAGUGAGGCUGCCAAGUGCUCAUGAACAACACCGUGUGGCCACUGCUGCUCUUGCAUUGCAUUACCCAUCGUCUGCCAAACAUCAAGGGUCCAAAGUCCUCACCUCACUAAGGAGAGCUGAGAACCCGAGUCUCCAAAAGACAAGAUUUCUUCAAUCCUCUUUUUACAAUUGCUAGUUUAGAUAUUUUCUGGAAGCACAAAUUACCAUCCUUCUGAGAGAUCUUUCUGCAAUCAAGGUACCUUCAUGCACUAUACUUAACACUGCUUCUAGAGAUGUUAUUUCAUGGUACAAUCAUGCCUGGUAUUUUCAUAAAAUGCAUACAAAGUCAUCUAAAACAUUAAGUAUUUGAAUGUUUUAAAAUACACCAACACUAUAAAACUUUUAAGCAAGUGUUGAUCUUUUUUCCUUUUCUUUUUUACCAUUAUUGAUAAAAGCAUGACUAUAAGGAUAUUUCUUUUAAAGAUUCAAUAAAUCUACUUUAAAGAGUCAAAUAAUGUUAUGAUAUGUAAAUUGUUUUUCCCCUGUAGUUGAAAUUACUAUGUUGGAUUUAAAUUUCCCAGUUCAAAGUAAACGAACAUUUUUGUCUGUAGCAUAAAGAUGUAUUUGGUAUUACAAAGAUCAGAGCAAUCUCUUCUUCAUUAAAUCAGGCAAGGAGAACUCACUGGAUCUCAAACUGUUAAAUGGAUAUUAGGAUUUUUAAUGAAUGGAACAUUUAUUUUUGUGCCAGCUCAACUAACAUUGACAUGAUUAGCAUACAUUUUGGCAGCUGUUCUAGCACAAGGUGUUAGUAAAAAGGGG
ensembl:lncRNA